CGAAGCGAACCGAACCGGAUGUUGGUUGUCCUGCUGAUGGCGCUAAUCACCUUGUUUCAUAAGCCGCCAGUUGUGCCAGCUAGCGCAGCAGCCACUCCGUAAGACGCUUUCGGCCAUGCUUCAGUUCACGCUGUCAUUCCAGGUCGAUUAUUUGGAUUUGUUCCUCGAUCUUCUCGCAGGCCCCAAACCGGGAAAAAAAUGUUCGGCUGAACGAUUCCUGCGUAUCCUCCGUGACCUAAAGUACAAAAAUGUACAAACUUGACUAUUCUGCCGACCCGACGGCACCGCGGCGUGAACCUGGACGAGCUGCUGACCAUGAAGUGAAGACCAGGGGGGCUGAACUGUCAAAAUUUCCCGUAGCACUCAUCCAAGCAAUAUGGCCGCCCAAUGUUAUUGUUUUGAAAAUGAAAUUGGUGAUCGGCUUAGAAAAGUUUUCGGAUUAUCGGUGUAUCGAAAGGUGUUUCCGGCAAGCGAACCAUGGAUACAAUGUUUUCGACGCUCCUCCCGUCUGUGUUGCCCUUGCACCUGCAUCCUGCAUCAGCCGUACACAGCUUGAAGAGCACUUCCGGGGCGAAAAGGAUUAAAGUAACAGAAGCUGCAGAUUCAGUCCUCAGGAAGCGUUCGGAACUUCUCGUGCCUUCUGUCUAAACAUCUCGGCCGCGUUCAGAAUCGCGCAGACGUUCAUUGAUAAAACCAGCCAUUUGCCUUCUGUUCAAGUGAAUCUCGUGCUCAUUCGACACUUGCGGGCCACCUUACAGCAACGCCCGAAA